UAGAGUUUGAUCAUGGCUCAGAUUGAACGCUGGCGGCAGGCCUAACACAUGCAAGUCGAGCGGAAACGAGAAUAGCUUGCUAUUCGGCGUCGAGCGGCGGACGGGUGAGUAAUGCCUGGGAAUAUGCCCUGAUGUGGGGGAUAACUAUUGGAAACGAUAGCUAAUACCGCAUAAUGCCUACGGGCCAAAGAGGGGGAUCUUCGGACCUCUCGCGUCAAGAUACGCCUAGGUGGGAUUAGCUUGUUGGUGGGGUAAUGGCUCACCAAGGCGACGAUCCCUAGCUGGUCUGAGAGGAUGAUCAGCCACACUGGAACUGAGACACGGUCCAGACUCCUACGGGAGGCAGCAGUGGGGAAUAUUGCACAAUGGGCGAAAGCCUGAUGCAGCCAUGCCGCGUGUAUGAAGAAGGCCUUCGGGUUGUAAAGUACUUUCAGUUGUGAGGAAGGGUGUGUAGUUAAUAGCUGCACAUCUUGACGUUAGCAACAGAAGAAGCACCGGCUAACUCCGUGCCAGCAGCCGCGGUAAUACGGAGGGUGCGAGCGUUAAUCGGAAUUACUGGGCGUAAAGCGCAUGCAGGUGGUUCAUUAAGUCAGAUGUGAAAGCCCGGGGCUCAACCUCGGAACUGCAUUUGAAACUGGUGAACUAGAGUGCUGUAGAGGGGGGUAGAAUUUCA
rnacentral:rRNA from 1 species